CAGAGGGCGCUUUGGCUUUGGCAGCGGUCCAAGUUCCUUGGAACAGGACGUCACAGAGGGUGAGAAUCCCGUACGUGGUCGCUAGCUAUUGCCGUGUAAAGCCCCUUCGACGAGUCGAGUUGUUUGGGAAUGCAGCUCUAAAUGGGAGGUAAAUUUCUUCUAAAGCUAAAUAUUGGCCAGAGACCGAUAGCGCACAAGUAGAGUGAUCGAAAGAUGAAAAGCACUUUGGAAAGAGAGUCAAACAGCACGUGAAAUUGUUGAAAGGGAAGCGCUUGCAGCCAGACUUGCUUGCAGUUGCUCAUCCGGGCUUUUGCCCGGUGCACUCUUCUGCAGGCAGGCCAGCAUCAGUUUGGGCGGUGGGAUAAAGGUCUCUGACACGUUCCUCUCUUCGGGGAGGCCAUAUAGGGGAGACGUCAUACCACCAGCCUGGACUGAGGUCCGCGCAUCUGCUAGGAUGCUGGCGUAAUGGCUGUAAGCGGCCCGUCUUGAAACACGGACCAAGGAGUCUAACAUCUAUGCGAGUGUUUGGGUGUCAAGCCCGAACGCGUAAUGAAAGUGAACGGAGGUGGGAACCCGCAAGGGCGCACCAUCGACCGAUCCUGAAGUUUACGGAAGGAUUUGAGUAAGAGCAUGGCUGUUGGGACCCGAAAGAUGGUGAACUAUGCUUGAAUAGGGUGAAGCCAGAGGAAACUCUGGUGGAGGCUCGCAGCGGUUCUGACGUGCAAAUCGAUCGUCAAAUUUGGGCAUAGGGGCGAAAG
rnacentral:rRNA from 1 species